AGAGCGAACGCUGGCGGCAUGCUUAACACAUGCAAGUCGCACGGGCAGGGGCAACCCUGUCAGUGGCGGACGGGUGAGUAACGCGUAGGUAUCUAUCCUUGGGUGGGGGACAACUGUGGGAAACUACAGCUAAUACCGCAUGAUAACUGAGGUUUAAAGGCGCAAGUCGCCUGGGGAGGAGCCUGCGUACGAUUAGCUUGUUGGUGGGGUAAAGGCCUACCAAGGCGACGAUCGUUAGCUGGUCUGAGAGGAUGAUCAGCCACAUUGGGACUGAGACACGGCCCAAACUCCUACGGGAGGCAGCAGUGGGGAAUAUUGGACAAUGGGCGCAAGCCUGAUCCAGCAAUGCCGCGUGUGUGAAGAAGGUCUUCGGAUUGUAAAGCACUUUCGACGGGGACGAUGAUGGACGGUACCGUAGAAGAAGCCCCGGCUAACUUCGUGCCAGCAGCCG
rnacentral:rRNA from 1 species